UACGCCAUCUUUUCUUUCUCUUGCCGCACCCAGUCCUGUGUGGAUGCUACGCUGGAGCUAGAGCUGGAUUUACUCAGAAAACAGACCAUAAAAGAGGUAUUUAGACACUAAAGUUAACUGCAGAAGUUACGGAAGUAGACGAGAAUCAUCAGACGUCUUUGAACCACGUAGAAAUCGAUAUUCCGGACUCUCUUCCGCGGGACUUCGAUCUCCAUCCAUCUGCCACUGUGUGUUGAUGUCCAUCCACGUCCACAUCUCCAUCUCCAUCACGCUGGGAUCGGCCAUCACCUCGUACCGUCUCAUUGGACAUUCAUUAUAAGGGGGAGGUGGAGUUCAACAGGAGCAGCAUCAUUACUGUUAUUAGAUCCACCUGUGUGUUCCCUGCAAUGCCCAGGCAGCAAACACUUAACAGGUCCGGUGUGUUCCUGCACCAACAUCACUAAGACACAUUCCUAUGCACAUGAUGAUGCCGUGAUGUUAACCAGACGUCCAACCCAUCAUCUAAUAUUGUUACAAAUAGCCUCCCAAAUAAAUCACAUUUUCCCCAU